rnacentral:lncRNA from 1 species
UAAUCCAUCUUCAGUUGGCAUGUAAUGUCUACCCUAAACUAAUGCGGUAGCACACCACAUCUUCCUUAAGCAUGGACUAUCUUAUAUUUACCUAGUGAUCAUGAAGAACAGUUGUACGAACAUCAUACUUAAAAUCACAGAAAUUAAAUAUGAUUCAAAAGAAGAUAUCCAUUAGAAACAAUAAGUUCAUACAACCCCAAGAAUAUAAAAUAAAAUAUAAAACCCGUGUCCCUUUUGUUAGGGCUGCAUCCAGCCCUAGUGAGAAGAUCAGCCUUCCAUGGAAAAUUGAACAGCUGCACUGCAGGGGGACUUCAUGAUGAUUGGCUCCUUCCUCCCGUCGGCUCUCUCCUCCCUUCUCUGUCUCCCGUGAGAACUCCUCCGAAGGAUGAAUGGGAUCCACCGGAUCCCUUUGAAUGGUUCCAAAAGAGAAUACCCCCUCUGUUCACGUCUGGGCUUUUUAUAGGCUGCAAACUCCCUCUUUCCUCCUCUAUUUCGAGUGCAGAUAAGGAUGAAGACAUGGUGGGAUAAGGAUGCGGUUGUUAACUUGAUGUGGCUGAGAAGGAAUCCAGAUUGGGAUGAAGGUGGAUCACGGACGACAAGGAUGAUUUGUUAAUCCAAAUGCUGGGAAGUUGGGGAGCAGAGGAUGCUGGGAAAAUCCGGAACGUUCGGAAAGCUCAUCCCGCCUGACUAUGGGAUAAGGAUGAAGCUUGGACGUGGAGUGCGGAAGAAACAGGGGAAGAUAUGUAAUCCGAACGGGAGAAAAUCUGGGAGUAUUCCGGAACGGAAGAAGCUGGGAAUUCGGUUGGAUUGGAUGAUGGGAUGAAUCCGUAGAUGAUUCGGCUGAUGGUUGGGAGGAAACCGUGGACUAAGUUGGGAUGCUCACGGAGGAGAAUAUCAUGGGAGAGACGUUGGGAGGAGCUGGAUCUUACGAACGGAUUGAACGUGAAACAGGGGAGAC